rnacentral:rRNA from 1 species
UACGUAGGUGGCAAGCGUUGUCCGGAUUUACUGGGCGUAAAGAGCGCGCAGGCGGUCGGAUAAGUCGAAUGUGAAAGCCCCCGGCUCAACUGGGGAGGGUCAUUCGAUACUGUUCGACUCGAAGGCAGGAGAGGGAAGCGGAAUUCCCGGUGUAGUGGUGAAAUGCGUUGAUAUCGGGAGGAACGCCGGCGGCGAAAGCGGUGCACUGGC